rnacentral:rRNA from 1 species
CUGAUACCGCCCAAGAGUUCAUAUCGACGGCGGUGUUUGGCACCUCGAUGUCGGCUCAUCACAUCCUGGGGCUGAAGUAGGUCCCAAGGGUAUGGCUGUUCGCCAUUUAAAGUGGUACGCGAGCUGGUUUCAGAAACGAAGGUAUAGCCACGCUUUUAACGCUUC